rnacentral:lncRNA from 10 species
CUCUAUUUGACUUCAACUACAAGAGAGAUGCCAAGCUGAGACCAGUUAAGCCACAGAACUCUUUUACCUUCGUUAACUCAAACCUGCACCCAUCUGAAGUGAAACCAGCAACCAUUUAACAGCAAACAGUAGCAGCAGCAUGCACCAAAAGAGAAUGGAAAGUGAAAAGAACACAACAGAUCAUUUUAAAAGUAGUGUGUCAAUUGCCUGGUUCUCCACUGACAGCUAAAAUUAAACAAAAAAGUGAAUUCCGUUCUACAGUGUGACCAUCUUAUGGGAACACUAGAGGAUAUCCAUAGACAGCAGAGAAAAAAUAGCAAAAUAGAUAUUUUGACUCACAGAAAAUGAAUGUUUGCAAAGAUUCACCAAGAAAUAAAGUCAACCAAAAAAGCAAAGUCAUGGAAAAGAAUUUUUCAUCCAGUGACUACCAAAUGGAGGAAUUAUCGUCUUGAAGGGGAACGUAUCAAUCACUUAAGGAAACUAGAUGGGAGACUGAAGGUGGCAAAAGGAGAGGCAUAGCAAAUGGAAGAAGGUGUCCUAGAGUCACUCUUAAA